rnacentral:rRNA from 1 species
AAGAGACAGCAGUAGCCACGGUAAUACGAAGGUCCCGAGCGUUGUUCGGAAUCACUGGGCGUAAAGGGAGCGUAGGCGGCGUGGUAAGUCAGAUGUGAAAUCCCGGGGCUCAACCCCGGAACUGCAUCCGAUACUGCCAUGCUAGAGGAUUGGAGAGGUAGCUGGAAUUCUUGGUGUAGCAGUGAAAUGCGUGGAGAUCAAGAGGAACACUCGUGGCGAAAGCGAGCUACUGGACAAUAACUGACGCUGAGGCUCGAAGGCCAGGGUAGCGAAAGGGAUUAGAUACCCCUGUAGUCCCUGUCUCUUAUAC